rnacentral:rRNA from 1 species
GACGAACGCUGGCGGCGUGCUUAACACAUGCAAGUCGAACGGAAAGGCCCUGCUUGCAGGGUACUCGAGUGGCGAACGGGUGAGUAACACGUGGGUUAUCUGCCCUGCACUUCGGGAUAAGCCUGGGAAACUGGGUCUAAUACCGGAUAGGAGCCAUUUUUAGUGGGAUGGUUGGAAAGUUUUUUCGGUGUAGGGUGAGCUCGCGGCCUAUCAGCUUGUUGGUGGGGUAAUGGCCUACCAAGGCGGCGACGGGUAGCCGGCCUGUGGGGGUGGACAGCCACAUUGGGACUGAGAUACGGCCCAGACUCCUACGGGAGGGAGCAGUGGGGAAUAUUGCACAAUGGGCGCAAGCCUGAUGCAGCGACGCCGCGUGGGGGAUGACGGCCUUCGGGUUGUAAACUCCUUUCGCUAGGGACGAAGCUUUUUGUGACGGUACCUAGAUAAGAAGCACCGGCUAACUACGUG